GACGAACGCUGGCGGCGUGCUUAACACAUGCAAGUCGAGCGGAAAGGCCCUUCGGGGUACUCGAGCGGCGAACGGGUGAGUAACACGUGAGUAACCUGCCCCAGACUUUGGGAUAACCCUCGGAAACGGGGGCUAAUACCGGAUACGACACAGCUUCGCAUGGGGUCUGUGUGGAAAGUUUUUCGGUUUGGGAUGGGCUCGCGGCCUAUCAGCUUGUUGGUGGGGUGAUGGCCUACCAAGGCGACGACGGGUAGCCGGCCUGAGCGGGCGACCGGCCACACUGGGACUGAGACACGGCCCAGACUCCUACGGGAGGCAGCAGUGGGGAAUAUUGCACAAUGGGCGGAAGCCUGAUGCAGCGACGCCGCGUGAGGGAUGACGGCCUUCGGGUUGUAAACCUCUUUCAGCAGGGACGAAGCGUAAGUGACGGUACCUGCAGAAGAAGCGCCGGCCAACUACGUG
rnacentral:rRNA from 1 species